UAAUUAGUCACCUAACAGUUUAUAUUUUAAUUUUAUCUGUAUUAAUUCAUUGAUUCCAAAUUUUCUCCGUCCUGAUUUGUAUAUGUCUGCGCAUUAAUUGUUUAUGUUAGAUUAUUAAUUUUAUUCUUAUUUUGCAAAAUUUAAUGUGUAAUGAUUUUGUGAAAAAAAUAAUAAAAUGAAGGUUUUUUAAGAUGAAGAAGACCAUGAGAAUGGUAACGGUUGCGGCGAUAUGGUGGUUAACAGUGGUUGGUGCCGCAUCUCCUCCAUCGACAACAGUUCCAGCUUUCCUCUGGUCUCCUCACCGCCAUCAGAAUGUCCCUCCCUCCCUCCCUCCCUCCCUGUCUCUCUCUCUUCAUUUUCCAAUCUAAGCUAUUUAGUUUCUUACUUGAAAUUUUAUCGGUAAAUUGGCAGCCUGUCUGUUGUUUAACAUAUGCUUUCUUUUAGGGUUUUUAAAUUUUCCAUGAUAAAGCUAUAUAUGUGUGUGUGUUUAUAAGAGAAUCAAUUAUAUCGAAAUUGACGUAGGAGUAAAGGGAAGAGAAAUUGAUCCUUUAAACUUCAACUAAAUGCCAAUACAAAAGUGUUCUCCUUUCUCACAUAAUAUCAGCUAAUACGCAAAACACAACAAAUGACCAAAUAUACGCGAUAUUACAGUGGAUUACAAUCUUUCUCCUCUUAGAUCUUUAAAUAGGAUCAGUAUGAAACCCUCCAGAUUUUUCUGGCGUUCCUGCUUCUCCCCAUAGAUUCCUGAUAAACAAUGCAAGUGAGAUGACUUUGAGUCUCCCUAAAAUGAAACCACAUCACAAACAGAUCAGUAGAUCAUGCUUUAUUUGGUAUUCUUACCUCCUGAACAUUGUCACUGUUUUUCUUGUAAAUUACUAUUGGCUGAACAAAAAUAUCGUACUUUGGGUUUUUGAAUUUCAACAGCCAAGCUUCUUUCGCUUAUGGGAUAUGUGCUUUCUAUGAUAUUCAAUCUAUUUUGAAGAUUUUGUAUGCCUAUCAUGUUCUCCUGGCUUUAUAUUUGCUGCAUAUUAUUCUACAAUUGGAAUGUUUAAACAUGUUAGAUUCUGAUCACGGGUCAAACAACAGAAUGAGUGAAGCAAUGAAUUAUCAGACCAUUUCUUCAAAGGAUCUUGCCAGGUUGGUGCUGGCUGAAGGAGGCUGGUCAAACUUACUGGUACUGCGCUCUCCUUCAUGCUAAGAGCUUGCUGCAAUUUUUUGCAGUAUCAUAUGAUCAGAAAAGAAAGUUCAGCAAUCUUUGGAUCUGGCAGUUGUUUUUGUUGGCAGAGGGGACUGAUCUGGUGAACAUGCUGCCGAGGCUUUUAUCUUAUGGUGUUCAUAUUCUAAUUUUAUUUUUGCUGUUUUCCACAGAUAUUUCUGCAAGCAAAAAUGCAGAUCCAGCUCUUGUGAACUUUCUCAAGGUCCUUUUACAAAGUCCAAUUUUUCCAUGGGAUUUCCGUAUGUUGCUGCAUCAGAGGAGGCAAUGGAGAAUUCAUUGGUUUCUGGGUUUGCUGAAGCUUGUGGACAGGAUUUAGGAAUCAGUAAGUGGGUUGAUUUUUUUAUUGCUUGAUGAUAUCAAAAAAUUUCGUUUAAAGUCAUGUCUUUGCCAGAUAUAUAUAUAUAUAUAUAUAUAUAUAUAUAUAUAUAUAUAUUAAUUGGACAUUUGCAAGUGAAAUGUUCUCUGAGCUUAUCAAUUCCGUGGAGAUGUUGGGGGGAAAAUAUGUGGUUCUCUAUGUUUCAGAUCCUUUCUGAUCAAUCCAGCUUCCUUAUCAUCAAGAGCUAGAAAGGUUUCUUGCUGAAGGUGCUGGAGGAAAUGCAUCACUGAAUUCCACCCACUGUGAUGAAGUUUGUCAGAUCAAAUCAUCGUUUCUGGAAGGAGUUUUAGUUGGCAUGGUCAUUGGAGAUGGCCUGAUUAUGAAUGGUAAAUUUCUAGCGGUCAGCAGGAGUGUUUUCAUUCUCUGCAUCUCAUGUCUUUGAAGAAGCAAAGAUUUUUCUUUGUUUAGUAAAUUAUCAGAAAACACCCAUGGGCACCUGGUUCUCAAGUACACAAGGCAUGUACAAGAGCAACACUAUCCUGAACUUGAAGGAACAAAAGAGCAACAGAAUGAAGUCUAACCGAACGGCAAAUAUAAUUUGCCUCCACAGUAUCUUUUUUCACCCCACAAUAAUACUGUUGUAGCUUGUUGGGAGCCCCGCGGUAUGGUAAAGAGGUAUUAUAGAAAAAUUAUUAAUAUUUCUUGGACGGCUAGGAUUUCUUAGGUUGCUAGGAUUCCUUGAAUGGUUUAGGGUCUACUAUAAAUAAAUAUUAUGUAACCCUAUUUUGAUAUAGUGAAAAUAAAAGCUCCUCGCUCCUGUGAAUGUAGGCAUAUUGUCGAACCAUAUUAAAUCUUGUGUUCUUUCUAGUUUCUCUCCCAUUACAAUAUUCAUCUAUAAUUACUGCAGGUCUUUCACAUCAAAUACACUUGAACGAAAUGCCUCAAAGAAGGAUUCUCCUAUUUUUUUCCUUAUCAUUACAAGCUGAACCGUUCCAUGCCCAUUUCCAAAUCUACCCCCAUCCAUGAUCUGCCUUACUAACAUUGUUGAUUGUCCUGGGAAUCCCUCUCAAAAGACCCUAGCAAAAUGCCAACACCAGUCGCUAGUUGGGGUCCUUCCGUCCUUGUUUCCAAGUUUGAUUUCUGCUAUAACCCUUGCUGUUGCUCUAUUGUGUGUUGUAGCAGAAAGGUUGAGUUUGAAAUCGAACAAUAAAUCAAAUCUUAGUUGUUAAUAAUCUCUCAUAUCUUAUACUGGACCUAAAACUAAUUGCUGAUUUUGAAGGCAAAAUCUUCUUCCGAAUCCAACAAGAUAUUUGACUGGCCUCCCUCUACCCUCUCUAAUCAACUUCUGACGAGUUCAUAGCAUUUAGAGCUACUGUUGCAGUUUUAGGCCUCUUCCAUGAUCUCAUGUAUUCUCCCAAGCUUAUUUUAAAGUUGAUUCAGCAUUAAUGCAGGGGAUGUCUUAGCUGAAACGGGAGGGUGCUUUCUUCUUUUUUUUUUUUUUGAGCUUACAAGCAGUCCAAGUAAAUUAUAUAAACUCGGUGGCUCAUAAUCUUGGAUGUGAAAUUCUGCAGUUUAUCUAUACUGCUAUGGUCCAUUAUACUCAUUUUCUUGCUCUACUUGCACUCCAGUUUCACUUUAGUCCAUUAUAUUAUUGUAUUUAUGGAGUCCUGAUAUUGUGGCUGUCUGUGAUGCUCAAGGGGAAUGGUUUGCUUAUCAUUUUAAUAUCAUGCCUAUGAUGUAUGAUGGGCAUUGACACUCCAACAAGAUUUGAGGCUUCCCAGGACUCUUAACCGUUUGUAAGGUGAGAUGAUACCUUUGUUUUGUACAACCACGUACUGUGUCAUGGACAGUCGUGAAAGAGAUUAGGUGGUUGUUAUGUAGUUUUCACUGAAUGGAGAUGUCCUCUUGUGUUAUUUAAUCUAGAUUGGAGCAUUAUGUUGUUUUUGUCAACAUUCUGAAUUGUAUGUGCCCAUUUGUUCCUGCCGUGUAGGUUUCAUUCUAGAUUUGAUUAGUUAUUUUUUUAUGAAUUGGCUAGUAUUUCCAUUAGAAAUCUAGCCACUGCAAUGAUACGAACUUUGAAGUGGAAAUGACUUGCAAAUGUUUGCUUAUCAAUAUAAAGCUCAAUUAUGAAUACUGUUGACCUCA